rnacentral:lncRNA from 1 species
AAUACCGAUGAGUACAUAAACGGAAGUAAACUAAGUAAUUCAAAUGUGGAGUUUCGUCAAUAUGCAACUCGUCGCAUAUUGAGCUUCACUUAAUGUGUAGAAGUUGAUAGUUGUGCUUUGUCAUGUCAUGCCUAAUUAAACGGACAUGCAUGAUAUUUGUUUUCACAUCAAAUCAUGAAUUUGUUGUGUUGUUUACCGUGUGUCAUUGCAU